rnacentral:rRNA from 1 species
AGUGAACGCUGGCGGUAGGCCUAACACAUGCAAGUCGAACGGCAGCACAGUAAGAGCUUGCUCUUACGGGUGGCGAGUGGCGGACGGGUGAGGAAUACAUCGGAAUCUACUUUUUCGUGGGGGAUAACGUAGGGAAACUUACGCUAAUACCGCAUACGACCUACGGGUGAAAGCAGGGGAUCUUCGGACCUUGCGCGAUUGAAUGAGCCGAUGUCGGAUUAGCUAGUUGGCGGGGUAAAGGCCCACCAAGGCGACGAUCCGUAGCUGGUCUGAGAGGAGGAUCAGGCACGAGGGAACGGAGGCACGGACCGGACCCGUGCGGGAGGCAGCAGUGGGGAGGGUGGGACAAUGGGCGAAAGCCUGAUCCAGCGAUGCAGCGUGAGUGAAGAAGGCCGUCGGGUGGUAAAGCCCUUUUGUGGGGAAAGAAAAGCAGCAGGUGAAUCCCGCGCGGUUCUGACGGUACUGAAGGAAAAAGAACGGGCAAACUCCUU